GAAUCCCGUCUUUGAUACGGACUACCGAGGCUUUGUGAUGUGCUCUCAAAGAGUCGAGUUGUUUGGGAAUGCAGCUCUAAAUGGGUGGUAAAUUCCAUCUAAAGCUAAAUAUUGGCGAGAGACCGAUAGCGAACAAGUACCGUGAGGGAAAGAUGAAAAGAACUUUGGAAAGAGAGCUAAACAGUACGUGAAAUUGCUGAAAGGGAAACGCUUAAAGUCAGUCGCGUUGGCUGGAAAUCAGCCCUUGCUUUUGCUUGGUGUAUUUUCUGGUCGACGGGUCAGCAUCAAUUUCGACCAUUGGAUAAAGUCAUUGGGAAUGUGGCAUCUUUUGGAUGUGUUAUAGCCCAUUGUUGUAUACGGUGGUUGGGAUUGAGGAACUCAGCAUGCCCGCGAGGGCCAGGUUUCGACCAUGUUUCAUGCUUAGGAUGCUGGCAUAAUGGCUUUAAUCGACCCGUCUUGAAACACGGACCAAGGAGUCUAACAUGCCUGCGAGUGUUUGGGUGGAAAACCCAUGCGCGCAAUGAAAGUGAAAGUUGAGAUCCCUGUUAGAGGGGAGCAUUGACGCCCGGACCAGAGCUUUUGUGACGGAUCCGCGGUAGAGCAUGUAUGUUGGGACCCGAAAGAUGGUGAACUAUGCCUGAAUAGGGUGAAGCCAGAGGAAACUCUGGUGGAGGCUCGUAGCGAUUCUGACGUGCAAAUCGAUCGUCAAAUUUGGGUAUAGGGGCGAAAGACUAAUCGAACCAUCUAGUAGCUGGUUCCUGCC
rnacentral:rRNA from 1 species